rnacentral:tRNA from 1 species
GCCUGGGUGGCUCAGUUGGUUAAGCAUCUGGCUUUGGCUCAGGUCAUGAUCUCCCAGGUCGUGGGUUCGAGCUCCACGUCGGGCU